rnacentral:rRNA from 1 species
UGCGCGUGUGUGAAGAAGCCUCGGGUUGUAAAGCACUUCAGUAGGGAGGAAGCGUUGUGUGUUAAUAGUACUCAACGUUGACGUUACCUACAGAAGAAGCACCGGCUAACUCUGUGCCAGCAGCCGCGGUAAUACAGAGGGUGCAAGCGGUAAUCGGAAUUACUGGGCGUAAAGCGCACGUAGGCGGUUUUUUAAGUCAGAUGUGAAAGCCCCGGGCUCAACCUGGGAAUUGCAUUUGAAACUGGAAAACUAGAGUGUGUGAGAGGGGGGUAGAAUUCCAAGUGUAGCGGUGAAAUGCGUAGAGAUUUGGAGGAAUACCAGUGGCGAAGGCGGCCCCCUGGCACAACACUGACGCUCAGGUGCGAAAGCGUGGGGAGCAAACAGGAUUAGAUACCCUGGUAGUCCACGCCGUAAACGAUGUCUACUAGCUGUUCGUGACCUCGUGUCGUGAGUAGCGCAGCUAACGCAUUAAGUAGACCGCCUGGGGAGUACGGUCGCAAGAUUAAAACUCAAAUGAAUUGACGGGGGCCCGCACAAGCGGUGGAGCAUGUGGUUUAA